CAACUUUCAACAAUGGAUCUCUUGGCUCUGGCAUCGAUGAAGAACGCAGCGAAAUGCGAUAAGUAGUGUGAAUUGCAGAAUUCAGUGAAUCAUCGAAUCUUUGAACGCACAUUGCGCCCCUUGGUAUUCCAUGGGGCAUGCCUGUUCGAGCGUCAUUG
rnacentral:rRNA from 5 species